rnacentral:ncRNA from 1 species
GGUGCCUGGGGAUUGUAGCCCCUGGGUGAAAAGGGAACCGGGUGGGAAUCCCGGACAGACGGUGCUGCUGUGUGCCCCCUGAUAAUAAGACCCUGCACUUGACCACUGUGCAAUAACCUGAUAGCAAAGGUUUGCAUGGGAAGGGAGAGGUGCAAGAGAGGGUAGGGGCGAGUCAGAAGACCUGCCAAGUCGCA